rnacentral:misc_RNA from 1 species
AGUUGCAUUCCAUUCAAGGACAAUCUUGGAGAAGUGAUCAGAUGGGCAAUGCGAGGGACGGGUAUAGUUUGCAAGAACGGGAGGUUUGCCAUAGGUAUAGCCAAAAUCAUGUUGGAGAACGGUGUAUGCACAAGGUUUAACCUUGGGGACAUUGAUGGGUUUAGUUACUUCAAAGUAAACAGUUAGUGGUGUGUCAUUGAGGGGUUUGGGAGCAAGAGUGGAGGAGGGUUCAGCAAGGAGAUUUGAUUUGAGGAGGUUGUUGGCCUUGUGAAUGUUAGCUGUGGAGGGGACAGGGUGGAGG